GGCUGCUGGGAGGACAAGAAUGUUACAGAACUUGGCUCACUGAUAGAAAUGAGGAUAGCAGCAAGUUCUGAUUGUGGCUCAGUGGGUUAAAAACACAACAUAGUGUUUGUGAGGAUGUAGUUUUGAUCCCUGGCUCUGCUCAGUGGGUUAAGGAUCUGGCAUUGCCAUAAGCUGUGGCCUGGGUCACAGAUGUCACUCGGUCUGGCAUGGCUGUGGCUAAGGCAUAGACUGGCAGCUGCAGCUCUGAUUAGACCCCUAGUCUGGCAACUUUGAUGUGCCUCAGGUGCAGCCAUAAAAAAGACAAAUGAAAAAGAAAGAAAUGAGGAUGACAGACUCCCAGAAUAACAGAAGAUCAGAUGCAUUUAAGAACCAGAGGAUGGCAAUUAUUAUAAUGAUGAGAAAGGUCAGAUUGGAGCCCACAAAAAAUUGCAGAUUAUUAACAGUAUACAGCAUCCCCAGGGGUGAAUUAAAUGGGCAGCCAACAGAGGAACUAUUUAGCUUAUACCAGCAGAAGCAAUGAAGAGUAGAUGACCAAGGGGUGAGCAAUAUGAUUCCUUGCCCAAUUCUGCACCUGAGCUAAGUUUCAGAUGAAAAACUCAUUGACUCAGAGGUGGCAGGGUCCCAGGGGGGAAGGACCCCAUGACAUCACAGUGAAAAACAUGGUGAUGGUUUCCCCAGUGCCUCCCUGAAGAGACUUAGAGCCUUUUGUAUGAGUAACCAUGCACUGAGGAAAAGGCAAUAUCACACAUUCAAGGACUGAUGGACCCAGUGUCUAAGUGACAUUGUAAUCUGGAGUGGUGAAGUGUCAUCAUGGUCCCCUGUUAGUGUAUAAAUAUAUUAGAGGCCAAUUAACAGAGUCCUGGUCAAGGUCAGGCUUACACUGCAUUCUCUGAGUCCCAUUGGUUCCACUAGUUCACACCCAUUGGUCAUUUUCCCAAUCCCUGAAUUGAAGUCGAUGUACUUGGUACAUAACCCUCACAGUGGUUUCUUGCACUGUGGAGUAAGAGUAGAGAAGACCUAGUGGAAGCCUCUAAACCACCCCCACCCCACCUCCGACCAAGAUAACAGAUAUAAAACACAGUAUUGCUUCCCAAGAGAUCAGAAAUUAGUGCUGCCUUUAAGACUCUAAAUGAUGCAGCAGCAGUGGUCCCCAUCCAUUUAAUUCAUCAGUCUGGCUCCUUCAGGAACUAGAUUAAUGCUGGAGGAUAAUUACAGAGUACCACAAGCUCAACUAACUAGUACCCCUGAUUAGAGCCACCAUGCUGCAUGUGGCAUCUUUGCUAGAUGAGAUUAAUCUGGCCUCAUAUAUAUAGUAUGCAGCUGUUGAUUUUGUGAACAUAUUAUUUUCUAUCCCAAUCAGGAAAGAGGAUUGAAUGGAACAGUUUUACUCCAGAACUCUAUUAGCUCUGUUAUGCUCUGCCAUAAUGUAGCCUGAAGAGAUCUGGACCAUCCACAGAACAUCACAUUAAUCCAUUACAUUGAUGGUAUUAUGUUGAUAAAGCUACAUAAACAAGAAGGGGCUUGUAUGCUGGAGGCCUUGUAAGAUCCAUGUGUUCCAGAGGGUGGACAGUAAACCAUGCGGAGUUCCAAGAGCACGCUACAAUGGGAAAACAUUUAAAGUUUCAGUGGUCAGGCUUGUGUUGAGAUAUCUCUUCUCAAAUAGAAGUCUAAAGUAUUUCCUUUUGUACCUCCUCCCAUAAAAAAAGAAGAGACAGGCUUUGGGUUCUAGAGGCAGCACUUCUCUGGCAUGUGUACUGAGUGAUGGAUGGCUGCCAGCUUUUAAUGAAGCCCAGAGCAAGAAAGCGCUCUGCAGUAUAUCCAGAUUGCUAUGCAAGCCAUGCAGCCACGAGCCAUAUGAUCUGCAGAACCUAUGGUGUGAAGAUAUCAAUGGUAGGAAAAGAUGCUGUGUGGCGUUUCUAGCAAGCCCCAGCAAGGAAAUAACAAAGCAGGGACCCUGGGGUUUGAGAGCAAGACCAUGCCAGAAAAUUAGUACCUGGCAUGCUACUUGGGCCUUAUGGAGGUGGAAUGCCUGACUAUGGGAAACCAAAUAAUCAUACAUCAUGAAUUGCCUCUCAUGAGAACUCACAAAUUCCUAAAAUUGAGCAGGCCAGCAAUAAUCUCUCAAACGAUGGAAGUGGUACAUUCACCACGACUGAGCACUGUCAGGGCCAGAGGGCACAAAGCAAGCUACAUGUGCAAGUAACCCAGACUUCCACGAUGCCCACUGCUGUUACACCAGUGCCUGUCACUCAGGUGGAAAUGGAGGGGGAAAAAAAUGUCUGAUCUUGGUUUAUGGGCGGGUCAGCUCUACAUGUGGGCACAAGUUGCGCUGGAAAACAGCUACACUAUGCCUCAUUCAGAGUAGGCCUUGGCAGUGAUGAGGGACAAUUAUCUCAGUGGACAGAGGCCUCACCAGCAAUGGCUUGGCCAAGAUGAUCAGUGACGAGGAGGACUGGGGUAGAGGCAUGUGGAUGGACAUUUGGAAGCAUACACAAGAUGUGAAGUUUUUAUAUCACACUUGAUGUCCAUCAGAAAGUUUCACUAUGAGAGCCACCAAGUAGACAAAAUGAUUUGGCCAGUUGAUGCCCACCCAAGUACUGGUAUGAGAGGCACAAGUAACAGUGUGAUAUGUUUAUUUCCUAUCACUAACCACUGAAAUGACCUAAUAGCCAUAAUAUUCUGGUAACAAUGAGUACAUCUAGCUCUCAGAUCUUGGUUUUUAAAAUACCAAUAUCCAUUAAAAAGGAUGCAGGAACCCUUGGAGAAAUGGUUGACUCCAAAUCUGGGACAGAAAAUGUACAAGGUGAGCCUGGAAUAUUUUUUCAUAGCCAAAGGGCAAGAAAGUUCUCAAAAGGCCACAAAAGCCGGCUUGAAGGAAUUCCCACUGACUAAACUUGGGACAAUUUGAACAUCAAAUUGAAUAAUGAUGCUAAUGAAUUUUAACACAUUGAAUAAAAGACAAUCGUAAGUUCACAGUGUUCUUUACUAAAAAUGGAAGGAAGGGGAGAGACCUUAUCUGCAAAAGAGUACAAGCCGAUAGAUGUAGUAAAAUGAUAAAUAGAAAAAGCACCAUUUUGCAACCACUGAUUGAUAUGAGUAGUAAUCAUUAAUGGAUGCUAAAACCCCUAGGUGAAAAGUUAUUGGGAAACAGGAUAUUCAGUUUUCAAAUAUCAUGCCACAAAUUACUUACUCAUUACAAAGAAGGGAAAAAAGAUGAAAUUUUAAAUGACAGUGGAGAGAUUUGAUGGACACCAGUGUAACCAAGUGAUGAAACUUUGCCUUAUCAAUAACAGAAUAAAUGAUAUUUUUACCUCUUGAGAGGUACUGAGAAAAACACAACAUCACCUAAGCUAUGCUCUUGCCAGAGUGUUUAACCUUAACAUAACCACAAGCAAACAGUCAGGUAAAUCCAGAUUAUGAGACAAUUUACACUAAAACUGGCUUUCCAAAAUGUCAGUCAUUAAAAGCAAAAUAAAAGGUGGGGAUCUUUUCUACAUUAAAGAACAUUAAACUCUUCUAUAUUAAAGAAAUACAUUAUAUAACAUUUGCUUGGAUACUGGAGCCAAAACAAAAACAAAAUGAAAAAUAACUAGAAGCACAUUUGGUGGACAACUGGAGAAAACUGAGUAUCAGAUAGUAUAUUAGGUUAAAAUGCUGUGUUAUUUUUUAAUUUCUUGAGUAUAAUGCUGCUGUUGUGAUUAUAUGUAGCAGAAUGCACUUAUUCAUAGGAGAGAUUUACUAAAGUAUGUAGGGAUAACGUGUCCUGAGAGAUAAAGGGACUGUGGCAAAAUAUUUGUUAACUACGGUAAAUUAGGUUGAAAGGUAAAUGAUUGUUAGCUUUACUAUUUGUUCAUUCCUUUUUUUUUUUUUUUCUCCCUCCCUUUUUUUUUUUUAAUGGCUGCACCCAUAGCAUAUGUAAGUUCCCAGGGCAGAGCCUAAAUCUGAGCCACAGACACAACCUAUGCCAUAGCCGUAGCAACGCCAGAUUCUUUAACCUACUGCACUGGACCAGGAACUGAACCCAGGCCUCCACAGCAACCUGAGCUGCCACAGAUUCUUUUUUUCUUUUUCUUUCUUUCUUUCUUUCUUUCUUUCUUUCUUUCUUUUUCUUUUUAAAUUAUAGUUGAUUUACAAUGUUGUACAGCCAAUUUCUGCUGUACAGCAAAGUGACUCAGUUACACAUUCUUUUUUAUUAUUUUCCAUUAUGGUCAUACAUUCUUUUUAAAAAUAUUAUUUUCCAUUAUGGCCAGAGUUUUUUCUAAGUAAUUCAUCUUUCCAACCAUAUUGCCACCAGAAGAUCUAGGGGUAUCCUUUUUUCCCUUUUUUCUUUUUUUUUUCUUUUUCAACAUUUCAUUAUGAAAAAUGUUUAUAUGUACGGUAAGUUUGAAAAAAACUUAACAUUUAUAUAUCCACCAUCUAGGCUGUACCAUUACCAUUUUACUAUGCUUGCUUUAUCACACAUCUAUCCAUCAUCCCUCUACUCUGGAUGGGAACACUCUUUUUCUUAAAGUUGUAGCAAAGUCCUUCUUCCAUGAGCCCUGAAGAUAAGCUCUGAGAUCUGAACCAUGCAUGAACUGGAUAUUAGAGAUAAAAUAUUGAAAAUCCAGCAUUUCCUAAACUGUUAUAACUACGGAAUUAAGUUUUGGAAACACAUAGAACUUUCUCAAGACAGGAAAGAAAAAAUGGCAUAGUUAGCAUCUAUAUAACUGUCUGUUGCAUAAACAUUUCCUUGUUGUUAACAUUUCUUAUUCAACAAAUCAAGAUGGAGUCAACAAUAUAAAAUAGCUGUGUUUACCCGCUCUGGGGGCUGUCAUGUUCUCCACUAUUGGCCUUCCAUACUAAGCUGACUACCUUUAUU
rnacentral:lncRNA from 1 species